AGCGAACGCUGGCGGCAGGCCUAACACAUGCAAGUCGAACGAACCCUUCGGGGUUAGUGGCGGACGGGUGAGUAACACGUGGGAACGUGCCUUUAGGUUCGGGAUAACUCAGGGAAACUUGGGCUAAUACCGGAUACGCCCUUACGGGGAAGGAUUUAUUGCCGAAGGAACGGCCCGCGUCCGAUUAGCUUGUUGGUGAGGUAACGGCUCACCAAGGCGACGAUCGGUAGCUGGUCUGAGAGGAUGACCAUCCUCACUGGGACUGAGACACGGCCCAGACUCCUGCGGGGGGGAGAAGUGGGGAAUACUGGACAAUGGGCGGAAGCCUGAUCCAGCCAUGCCGCGUGGGUGAUGAAGGCCCUAGGGUUGUAAGGCCCUUUCAGCGGGGAAGAUAAUGACGGUACCCGCAGAAGAAGCCCCGGCUAACUUCGUGCCAGCCGCCGCUGUAAGAC
rnacentral:rRNA from 1 species